rnacentral:rRNA from 1 species
ACGAACGCUGGCGGCGUGCUUAACACAUGCAAGUCGAACGGAAAGGCCCUGCUUUUGUGGGGUGCUCGAGUGGCGAACGGGUGAGUAACACGUGAGUAACCUGCCCUUGACUUUGGGAUAACUUCAGGAAACUGGGGCUAAUACCGGAUAGGAGCUCCUGCUGCAUGGUGGGGGUUGGAAAGUUUCGGCGGUUGGGGAUGGACUCGCGGCUUAUCAGCUUGUUGGUGGGGUAGUGGCUUACCAAGGCUUUGACGGGUAGCCGGCCUGAGAGGGUGACCGGCCACAUUGGGACUGGGAUACGGCCCAGACUCCUACGGGAGGCAGCAGGGGGGAAUAUUACCCAAUGGGCGGAAGCCUGAUGCAGCAACGCCGCGUGCGGGAUGACGGCCUUCGGGUUGUAAACCGCUUUCGCCUGUGACGAAGCGUGAGUGACGGUAAUGGGUAAAGAAGCACCGGCUAACUACGUG